CCUACGGGAGGCAGCAGUGGGGAAUAUUGCACAAUGGGGGAGACACUGAUGCAGCGACGCCGCGUGAGUGAAGAAGUAUUUCGGUAUGUAAAGCUCUAUCAGCAGGGAAGAAAAUGCCGGUACCUGAUUCAGAAGCCCCGGCUAACUACGUGCCAGCAGCGGCGGCAAUACGUAGGGGGCAAGCGUUAUCCGGAUUUACUGGGUGUAAAGGGAGCGUAGACGGCAGCACAAGUCUGGAGUGAAAUGCCGGGGCUUAACCCCGGAACUGCCUUUGAAACUGUGCAGCUAGAGUGAAGGAGAGGUAAGUGGAAUGCCUAGUGUAGCGGUGAAAUGCGUAGAUAUUAGGAGGAACUCCAGUGGCGAAGGCGGCUUACUGGAUUGUAACUGACGUUGAGGCUCGAAAGCGUGGGGAGCAAACAGGAUUAGAUACCCUAGUAGUC
rnacentral:rRNA from 1 species